CACGUAGUUAGCCGUGGCUUUCUCAUAAGGUACCGUCAAUUGAUAGUCAUUUCCUCCUAUCACCUUUCUUCCCUUAUAACAGAAUUUUGCAACCCGAAGGCCUUCUUCAUUCACGCGGCGUUGCUCGGUCAGGCUUUCGCCCAUUGCCGAAGAUUCCCUACUGCUGCCUCCCGUAGGAGUCUGGGCCGUGUCUCAGUCCCAGUGUGGCCGUUCACCCUCUCAGGUCGGCUACGCAUCGUCGCCUUGGUAGGCCUUUACCCCACCAACUAGCUAAUGCGCCGCAGGCUCAUCCAUCAGUGAUGCCAGGAGCAUCUUUAAACUUUCGUCCUAUCCGGUAUUAGCGAUCGUUUCCAAUCGUUGUCCCCGUCUGAUGGGCAGAUUACCUACGUGUUACUCACCCGUUCGCCGCUUCCCACCGAAGUGGUUCGCUCGACUUGCAUGUAUUAGGCACGCCGCCAGCGUUCAUCCUGAGCCAGGAUCAAACUCU
rnacentral:rRNA from 1 species